GAUGAACGCUGGCGGCGUGCCUAAUACAUGCAAGUCGAGCGAACAGACGAGGAGCUUGCUCCUCUGACGUUAGCGGCGGACGGGUGAGUAACACGUGGAUAACCUCCCUAUAAGACUGGGAUAAAUUCGGGAAACCGGAGCUAAUACCGGAUAAUAUAUUGAACCGCAUGGUUCAAUAGUGAAAGACGGUUUUGCUGUCACUUAUAGAUGGAUCCGCGCCGCAUUAGCUAGUUGGUAAGGUAACGGCUUACCAAGGCGACGAUGCGUAGCCGACCGGAGAGGGUGAUCGGCCACACUGGAACUGAGACACCGUCCAGACUCCUACGGGAGGCAGCAGUAGGGAAUCUUCCGCAAUGGGCGAAAGCCUGACGGAGCAACGCCGCGUGAGUGAUGAAGGUCUUCGGAUCGUAAAACUCUGUUAUUAGGGAAGAACAAAUGUGUAAGUAACUAUGCACGUCUUGACGGUACCUAAUCAGAAAGCCACGGCUAACUACGUG
rnacentral:rRNA from 1 species